GUUCGAUCGCUCGGUCGGCAGCAACGUUUGGUCGACGAAGAGCACGCGACUGCUUCAUUUACAAAUUCCCGGUUGCCGACAAACAUGUUUGUGCCACGCAGCUACCAUCUGCCACGGCUCUGAGACCGGUUCCCACGACCCACUCCGUCAACAACCGCAAUGAGUGUAUAAGUUUACGCCGAAGCCAAGACUACUCUGGGGUCACACUCAUUGAAAAAAAAA
rnacentral:lncRNA from 1 species